rnacentral:rRNA from 1 species
GGUAACCUGCCCAUCAGAAGGGGAUAACACUUGGAAACAGGUGCUAAUACCGUAUAACAAUCGAAACCGCAUGGUUUUGAUUUGAAAGGCGCUUUCGGGUGUCGCUGAUGGAUGGACCCGCGGUGCAUUAGCUAGUUGGUGAGGUAACGGCUCACCAAGGCCACGAUGCAUAGCCGACCUGAGAGGGUGAUCGGCCACAUUGGGACUGAGACACGGCCCAAACUCCUACGGGAGGCAGCAGUAGGGAAUCUUCGGCAAUGGACGAAAGUCUGACCGAGCAACGCCGCGUGAGUGAAGAAGGUUUUCGGAUCGUAAAACUCUGUUGUUAGAGAAGAACAAGGAUGAGAGUAACUGUUCAUCCCUUGACGGUAUCUAACCAGAAAGCCACGGCUAACUACGUGCCAGCAGCCGCGGUAAUACGUAGGUGGCAAGCGUUGUCCGGAUUUAUUGGGCGUAAAGCGAGCGCAGGCGGUUUCUUAAGUCUGAUGUGAAAGCCCCCGGCUCAACCGGGGAGGGUCAUUGGAAACUGGGAGACUUGAGUGCAGAAGAGGAGAGUGGAAUUCCAUGUGUAGCGGUGAAAUGCGUAGAUAUAUGGAGGAACACCAGUGGCGAAGGCGGCUCUCUGGUCUGUAACUGACGCUGAGGCUCGAAAGCGUGGGGAGCAAACAGGAUUAGAUACCCUGGUAGUCCACGCCGUAAACGAUGAGUGCUAAGUGUUGGAGGGUUUCCGCCCUUCAGUGCUGCAGCUAACGCAUUAAGCACUCCGCCUGGGGAGUACGACCGCAAGGUUGAAACUCAAAGGAAUUGACGGGGGCCCGCACAAGCGGUGGAGCAUGUGGUUUAAUUCGAAGCAACGCGAAGAACCUUACCAGGUCUUGACAUCCUUUGACCACUCUAGAGAUAGAGCUUCCCCUUCGGGGGCAAAGUGACAGGUGGUGCAUGGUUGUCGUCAGCUCGUGUCGUGAGAUGUUGGGUUAAGUCCCGCAACGAGCGCAACCCUUAUUGUUAGUUGCCAUCAUUCAGUUGGGCACUCUAGCAAGACUGCCGGUGACAAACCGGAGGAAGGUGGGGAUGACGUCAAAUCAUCAUGCCCCUUAUGACCUGGGCUAC